UUGACAUUUUCCCUCAGGGGUGUACUCACUGUUGACAUCAGUUUAGACAUUAAUGGCUGUGUGUGGAGUUCUUUUGAGGACAGUAACAAUACUACCAGUACAAUAACAGUAGUUACUCUGUUUUACAAGCUGUCCACAGCUUGCAGAAGUUGUGAGGGGUGUACUCACUUUUGGGAAAUACUGUAAGCAGGCACAUGGACACAGGGAAAGGAGUGGUUGAAGAGGCAGGUUCUUCUACUGCAGCUGAUGGGAUGAUAGGAGACAGGUGGGCCCUCAUGCUCUGGUGCCGCCCAUGUCGCACCCAGAUCAACAGAUGGAGAGAAAAAAGAGAAAAAAGAGGAAGAAGGGGAAGUCCAGCAAACUUCAUUUUAAGUCUGUCUCUGUGUUCAUCCUUUGCUCACC